UAAUCGAUGCAUAUCCCGACGAUAAAUACGGUGGAUCUGGUGGAUCCAGUGGUUCCGGGGGAUCGUAUGGGUCGGGUGGAUCCGGUUCAACGUGCACGUACAAGGGGCAGGUCUAUAAAGAUGGCGCUGUCUUCAAAGACGAUUGCAACACGUGCAUCUGCAUAUAUGGAAGUGCGACUUGCCAGGACAAAAAUUGCGGAGGAAAGGAUGACUAUCCUUAAGGUGGAUCCG